ACGGGAGGCAGCAGUGGGGAAUUUUGGACAAUGGGCGCAAGCCUGAUCCAGCAAUGCCGCGUGUGUGAAGAAGGCCUUCGGGUUGUAAAGCACUUUUGUCCGGAAAGAAAACCUCUGCCCUAAUACGGCGGGGGGAUGACGGUACCGGAAGAAUAAGCACCGGCUAACUACGUGCCAGCAGCCGCGGUAAUACGUAGGGUGCAAGCGUUAAUCGGAAUUACUGGGCGUAAAGCGUGCGCAGGCGGUCCGCUAAGACAGAUGUGAAAUCCCCGGGCUUAACCUGGGAACUGCAUUUGUGACUGGCGGGCUAGAGUAUGGCAGAGGGGGGUAGAAUUCCACGUGUAGCAGUGAAAUGCGUAGAGAUGUGGAGGAAUACCGAUGGCGAAGGCAGCCCCCUGGGCCAAUACUGACGCUCAUGCACGAAAGCGUGGGGAGCAAACAGGAUUAGAUACCCUGGUAGUCCACGCCCUAAACGAUGUCAACUGGUUGUCGGGUCUUCAUUGACUUGGUAACGUAGCUAACGCGUGAAGUUGACCGCCUGGGGAGUACGGUCGCAAGAUUAAAACUCAAAGGAAUUGACGGGGACCCGCACAAGCGGUGGAUGAUGUGGAUUAAUUCGAUGCAACGCGAAAAACCUUACCUACCCUUGACAUGGUCGGAAUCCUGCUGAGAGGCGGGAGUGCCUGAAAGGGAACCGAUACACAGGUGCUGCAU
rnacentral:rRNA from 1 species